rnacentral:rRNA from 1 species
GUAGGUGGCAAGCGUUGUCCGGAAUUAUUGGGCGUAAAGCGCGCGCAGGCGGUUCUUUAAGUCUGAUGUGAAAGCCCACGGGCUCAACCGUGGAGGGUCAUUUGGAAACUGGAGAACUUGAGUACAGAAGAGGAAAGCGGAAUUCCACGUGUAGCGGUGAAAUGCGUAGAGAUGUGGAGGAACACCAGUGGCGAAGGCGGCUUUCUGGUCUGUAACUGACGCUGAGGCGCGAAAGCGUGGGGAGCAAACAGGAUUAGAUACCCUGGUAGUCCACGCCGUAAACGAUGAGUGCUAAGUGUUAGGGGGGUUUCCGCCCCUUAGUGCUGCAGCUAACGCAUUAAGCACUCCGCCUGGGGAGUACGGCCGCAAGGCUG